rnacentral:snRNA from 1 species
UUGCUCCGGUGGCAUAUAUACUAAAACGGGAAUGACAGAGAAGGUUAGCAUUACCCUUGCGCAAGGAUGACACACAAAUUCAUGAUGUAUUCCAUAUUUUU